ACGGAAGGCAGCAGUGAGGAAUAUUGGUCAAUGGGCGGAAGCCUGAACCAGCCAAGUCGCGUGAAGGAAGACGGUUCUAUGGAUUGUAAACUUCUUUUGCAUGAGGGUAAAGUGAUCUACGUGUAGGUUAUUGCAAGUAUCAUGUGAAUAAGCAUCGGCUAACUCCGUGCCAGCAGCCGCGGUAAUACAGAGGAUGCGAGCGUUAUCCGGAUUUAUUGGGUUUAAAGGGUGCGUAGGCGGGAUAUUAAGUCAGCGGUGAAAGUUUGCGGCUCAACCGUAAAAUUGCCGUUGAAACUGGUGUCCUUGAGUGUAAACGAGGUGGGCGGAAUGUAACGUGUAGCGGUGAAAUGCUUAGAUAUGUUACAGAACUCCGAUUGCGAAGGCAGCUUACCAGCAUACAACUGACGCUGAGGCACGAAAGCGUGGGUAUCAAACAGGAUUAGAUACCCUGGUA
rnacentral:rRNA from 1 species